rnacentral:rRNA from 1 species
ANGCAAGUCGAGCGAACUGAUUAGAAGCUUGCUUCUAUGACGUUAGCGGCGGACGGGUGAGUAACACGUGGGCAACCUGCCUGUAAGACUGGGAUAACUUCGGGAAACCGAAGCUAAUACCGGAUAGGAUCUUCUCCUUCAUGGGAGAUGAUUGAAAGAUGGUUUCGGCUAUCACUUACAGAUGGGCCCGCGGUGCAUUAGCUAGUUGGUGAGGUAACGGCUCACCAAGGCAACGAUGCAUAGCCGACCUGAGAGGGUGAUCGGCCACACUGGGACUGAGACACGGCCCAGACUCCUACGGGAGGCAGCAGUAGGGAAUCUUCCGCAAUGGACGAAAGUCUGACGGAGCAACGCCGCGUGAGUGAUGAAGGCUUUCGGGUCGUAAAACUCUGUUGUUAGGGAAGAACAAGUACGAGAGUAACUGCUCGUACCUUGACGGUACCUAACCAGAAAGCCACGGCUAACUACGUGCCAGCAGCCGCGGUAAUACGUAGGUGGCAAGCGUUAUCCGGAAUUAUUGGGCGUAAAGCGCGCGCAGGCGGUUUCUUAAGUCUGAUGUGAAAGCCCACGGCUCAACCGUGGAGGGUCAUUGGAAACUGGGGAACUUG